UAACCUACGGGGGGCAGCAGUGAGGAAUAUUGGUCAAUGGCCGAGAGGCUGAACCAGCCAAGUCGCGUGAGGGAUGACGGCCCUACGGGUUGUAAACCUCUUUUGUCGGGGAGCAAAUUCCGCCACGCGUGGCGGAGUCGAGAGUACCCGAAGAAAAAGCAUCGGCUAACUCCGUGCCAGCAGCCGCGGUAAUACGGAGGAUGCGAGCGUUAUCCGGAUUUAUUGGGUUUAAAGGGUGCGUAGGCGGACUGUCAAGUCAGCGGUAAAAUACGGGGGCUCAACCUCCGCCCGCCGUUGAAACUGAC
rnacentral:rRNA from 1 species